CACGGGGGGAGCAAGCGUUGUUCGGAAUCACUGGGCGUAAAGGGUGCGUAGGCGGGUCUUUUAAGUCAGGGGUGAAAUCCUGGAGCUCAACUCCAGAACUGCCUUUGAUACUGGAGAGCUUGAGUCCGGAAGAGGUGAGUGGAACUCCGAGUGUAGAGGUGAAAUUCGUAGAUAUUCGGAAGAACACCAGUGGCGAAGGCGGCUCACUGGUCCGGUACUGACGCUGAGGUGCGAAAAGCGUGGGGAGCAAACAGG
rnacentral:rRNA from 1 species